GAUGAAGAACGUAGUGAAAUGCGAUACUUGGUGUGAAUUGCAGAAUCCCGUGAACCAUCGAGUCUUUGAACGCAAGUUGCGCCCGAAGCCUCGGCUAAGGGCACGUCUGCCUGGGCGUCACGCAUCGCGUCUCCCCCAAACCGCCAAGGCGGAGGGGAAGGAAGAUGGCUUCCCGUGCCUCACCCGGGCGCGGUUGGCCUAAAUUUGGAGCCCGCGGCACUUAGCUCUCGCGGCGAUAGGUGGUGAACAAGGCCUUGGCCGUGCAAACAACCCGCUGCGAAGCUCUAUGUCACGUGCGCUCGUCGGACCCUUUGAAGUUGCCUUCGGUGACUUAAAACCUUUGCGACCCCAGGUCAGGCGGGGCUACCCGCUGAAUUUAAGCAUAUCAAUAAGCGGAGGA
rnacentral:misc_RNA from 1 species